rnacentral:rRNA from 1 species
AGAGUUUGAUCCUGGCUCAGAACGAACGCUGGCGGCAGGCUUAACACAUGCAAGUCGAACGCUCGUAGCAAUACGGGAGUGGCAGACGGGUGAGUAACGCGUGGGAACAUACCCUCCGGUUCGGAAUAGCUCAGGGAAACUUGGAUUAAUACCGGAUACGGCUGAGAGGCGAAAGAUUUAUCGCUGGAGGAUUGGCCCGCGUUCGAUUAGCUUGUUGGUGAGGUAACGGCUCACCAAGGCGAUGAUCGAUAGCUGGUCUGAGAGGAUGAUCAGCCACAUUGGGACUGAGACACGGCCCAAACUCCUACGGGAGGCAGCAGUGGGGAAUAUUGGACAAUGGGCGCAAGCCUGAUCCAGCCAUGCCGCGUGAGUGAUGACGGCCUUAGGGUUGUAAAGCUCUUUCGCUCGGGACGAUAAUGACGGUACCGAGAUAAGAAGCCCCGGCUAACUUCGUGCCAGCAGCCGCGGUAAUACGAAGGGGGCUAGCGUUGUUCGGAAUUACUGGGCGUAAAGCGCGUGUAGGCGGGUCUUUAAGUCAGGGGUGAAAUGCCAAGGCUCAACCUUGGAACUGCCUUUGAUACUGGAGAUCUUGAGUCCGGGAGAGGUGAGUGGAAUUGCGAGUGUAGAGGUGAAAUUCGUAGAUAUUCGCAAGAACACCAGUGGCGAAGGCGGCUCACUGGCCCGGAACUGACGCUGAGACGCGAAAGCGUGGGGAGCAAACAGGAUUAGAUACCCCCGUAGUCC